GCAGGUUCCUGAAGAUCCUCCCACUUCUGUGACCCUGCCCCCGGCUGUUCUGGUGUGCACCAGAGAGUACCAAAAUGAAGAGAGAGAGCCUCCCCCUCACCUGGGGAAGAAGACAUGUCAGCAUCCUCAAGACUCAGGGAGCCAACGGAGUGUCAAGCCCUUGCAGCUCACACAUGCUCCUGAAUGGACGGGGUCCGCACAAUGGCAAGUGAUCUCACCUGGACACAGAGUCAUCACUGUGUGCAGAGCCCCUGCUUGGGGCAGAAUAAGCCCUGCUGAGUCACCUGGUUCCUUCUGGGAAAAUUCCAGGGGUAAAAGUCCAGGGACCUAGUCCCUGACACCCCUCCCUUCCCUGGGCUCCACAGAGAGACCUUACAGCCCAGAGAAUUUCCUAAGGCAGACUGCAGGUUUUCUGGGAUGCCUUUUUUUAGCAUGUCAUUGAUGGCCCCACGGCUGGGCCAUUGGCCUGGCGGGAAGUUUGUCACUGGCUCCUGGGAAAGCUUAGUGAUAACACUCUAGAGUUCCAGUCCCUCGCCUGGCCUCGGCUUUGCCCUCUCCUGCUGCCCAAAGGGAGCCUCCAAGUUUGAGCCCCUGGGCUCGUUAUCUCUAGCUUCCCACUGAUGGGUUAGGGGGCUUCUCCUAGGGUCUCCCUUACAGAGGGGUUGAUGGUCCCCAGAACCAGGAGUGGCCUCAUUCUCCAGGGACUGUCCUCCACGGAGUGUUGAUCCAACAGGCUCUCCACCACAAUUAGCCCUUCCCUCAUCCUUGCCCUAUAAAUAUUCAUUUUGGAGAU